rnacentral:rRNA from 1 species
GUGACCUGCGGAGGACAUUAAUGAAUGAAUGUCGAGAAGGGUUGAAGCUGGCCUUUUGGGGCAUGUGCACACCUUGAUCGCACAUCCACCUCUCACACCUGUGCACUAUGUGUAGCUUGGGAUGAUUACAAUGUCAUAAAUGAUAUUGAAAGCCCUACCUAUGAAUUUUUAUUAUAAACCCAUAUACAAAGUUAUAGAAUGGAUAAUGUUAUAGCGUGUAAUAGCGCAAAUAUAUACAACUUUCACCAACGGAUCUCUUGGCUCUCGCAUCGAUGAAGAACGCAGCGAAAUGCGAUAAGUAAUGUGAAUUGCAGAAUUCAGUGAAUCAUCGAAUCUUUGAACGCACCUUGCACUCCUUGGUAUUCCAAGGAGUAUGCCUGUUUGAGUGUCAUGAAAUUCUCAACUGCCUUUUUAGCAUUUAUGUUAAGGGUGAAGUUGGAGUUGGAGGAUAAUUGCUGGCGCACAACUUAGGUUGUUUGUUAGCUCCUCCUAAAUGGAUGAGCUUUUCUAAUAGAUCAUGGCUCAGUAACACUAAUGUGAUAAUUAUCUACAUUAAAUGUGAAAGCUAUGAGUAGAGUAACUUCAAUUGUGGAGAAGCUCCUAUAGAAAGGGUAUGUCUUGGGGAUAAAUAAACCCUUGACUUGAAAUAUAAUGACAAAUCUGACCUCAAAUCAGGUAGGACUACCCGCUGAACUUAA